AGAGUAUGAAGAAGGGGUGGGAGAGAUCAGGGGGAAGCUCUGCUUCAGCUGUGGGGCCACAGAAGGCGGGACUCGGUGAAGAUCUCCACCAUGGCCUGGUCCCCUCUCCUCCUCACCCUCAUCGCUCUCUGCACAGGAUCCUGGGCCCAGUCUCUGACCCAGCCCGCCUCAGUGUCUGGGACCCUGGGCCAGACAGUCACCAUCUCCUGCUCUGGAAGCAGCUCCAACAUCGGGUAUAGUUAUAGUGCUGUGGGCUGGUACCAACAGAUCCCAGGAACAGCCCCCAAAACCCUCAUCUAUGGUAAUAACAAACGAGCCUCAGGGGUCCCAGAUCGAUUCUCUGGCUCCAAGUCUGGCAACACAGCCACCCUGACCAUCUCUGGGCUUCAGGCUGAGGACGAGGCCGAUUAUUACUGUGGUUCCUAUUACAGCAGUGAUAGUAGUGACACAGUGAUGCAGGCCCAUGGGGAAGUGAGACAAAAACCUGCUGUGCCCUCAGCCAAGGGGCUUCCCUGUGCAGCCCCCACUCCUCGGCCACGUCUGCUGCUUCCUUUGUUUGUGUGGCCAAAAGCAGCUCUGAUACUCAGUUCAGGGAGCUUUCUCUUGAACAUGUGUGCUCAUGCUCUCAACGUCUGCCCCCACAACUGGUCCUUGGUUUCAAUCCAUUUUCUGUUUUUCUCUAAUCGAGUAGACAUUCCUGGAUGCUGGGGCAGGCUGCCCUGGGGACAGAGUCCACCAGGGGUAUGUGAGUCUGCCAGGGCUGCCAUAACAUAAUACCACAGAUGGGGC